rnacentral:lncRNA from 1 species
UUGUCAUCUGAAACCAUGGCCAAAGAAAUCCUCUAAACGCAUGACGCAAUAUCUUGUAAUCGAACCGUUCCCGAUGCCCUUCGUACCCUUCAACACCACGAAGCCGGAAUAGCUUGGAUGCCUGUUUCAACCACAUGGAGAAAUCUUAGGAAAAUCUGCAACUUGCACAUUUUCGCUACUCAGAAACUUGACGCUAACCAACACCUGCGGCGUAACAAAGUAGAACAACUCCUUGCUGAUGUUGGUGAUAGUUCCCGCAUUGGAGAAUCGAUAGAGAUAUCCACAGUUGCUUUCAAAACUACGCUUAAUCUUAUAUCCAAUACUAUUUUCUACGUCGAUUAUGCCAACCCUUCUUCUAAUACUGCCCUGGAAUUCAGAGAAAAUUUACAGGUUAUCAAGGAAGAGUUGGGAAAAGCCAAUUUUGGUGAUCUUUUUCCUACUCUUGCUAAACUUGACUUGCAAGGCAUAAGGCGUCGCAUGGCAAUUCAUUCUAAGAAGAUGAUGAAUAUUUUUGAUAAAGAGAUUGAUAACCGGUCGGAGUUGAGAAAGAUGAAUGAUUAUAUACCAGCUCAAGAAUUUUUGGAUACUCUUCUCCAAAUCAGUGAAGAUGAUAACGAAGAGCUUGAUAGAAAUCUGAUAAAACAUUUGUUUUUUGUACUUUUUUCUCUCUUCAGUCUCUCAAUUGUUUUCUUCUUCUUUUUUUUUUGGUCCAUAACUCGGUAACAAUUUGUGAAACAGGAUUUGUUCACUGCAGGAACGGAUACAACUACAAGUACACUGGAAUGGGCAAUGGCGGAGUUACUUCAUAACCCAAAAGCUUUACAGGAAGUCCGAAGAGAACUACAACAAAUAAUUGGCGAAGGGAACGUAGUGGAGGAAUCUAAUGUUACUCGUUUACCUUAUUUGCAAGAUUGCAUCCUCCACUUCCUUUCUUACUCCCUCGAAAAGCUGAAGUAGAUAUCAAGAUUCACAACUUCGUUUAGAGAGGUUCAUAGAAUCAGAAAUUGAUGUUAAAGGAACGAACUUUGGAUUGGUUCCAUUUGGGGGAGGGCGACGAAUUUGCCCUGGAUUACCAUUGGCCAUUAGAAUGUUGCCCUUAUUGUUGGGUACACUUAUUCAUUCAUUUGAUUGGGAACUUGAAGAUGGAGUCACACCUUAAAGUUUAAACAUGGAUGAAGCUUACGGUCUUAUUUUACAGAAAGCUCAACCAUUCAAAGUUAUCCCUCGUUCGAUUUAACAAAUUAUUGUAUAUUUUUAUCUAUAACUAUUGAAAAGUUUAAGAGUUAGAAAAGUUAAGUAUUGAAUUUUUACUGUUGAGUUGAAUUUAUAUUAGAAAAUUGUUUGAUAAAUUAGUAAAUAUAAAUAUUAAAUAUAAUUAUAUUGUUAGAUAAAAGUAAAUAUUGGUUUUUAAUUUUAAUCUUAUUAAUAUAUUAUUUUAUAUAUUUUGGAUAGUUUUGGGUAAGAGAUAAAUAUAGUAAUUUAAAUAUCUCUUUCUUUUAAGAGAAGGAUAAUUUGUUUCAAUUUUUUAAUAAAAUAAAAUCAACUUAAUAUUUUUUAGAUUAAGUGAUAAUUAUAUACCUAUCUACUUAUCUUAUUCAACACUUUUUAAAAAAAAAAUCAUAUUAAGUUAAAAAAUAAGAAAAUGGUUAUCAAAUACAUUUAAAGUAUUAAAUGUUGAAAACUUUCAUUUUCAAUGAAAUGAAUUUUCAAUGAUUUAUCAAACACACCCUUCAUUGAUGGUAAAUUAUUAUAGAAUUAUUUUAGAUUAUCUUUCAUUUUUCUUCAAACAUUGUGGGCAAUGCUAGCAUUCAUUAAUCACAUGAAAACCAUGCGUACCUAUUUACCAGGGAUGUUGUUAGGGGUUGAUAGGAGUCUUAACCCCUAAAAUGGAAAAUUUUUCAUUUAGGUUCUUUAAGUUUUUAAAAAUUUAAAUUAGUAAAGGUAAAAUUAUACUUUGUCCCCCUAAAAAUAAUAAAAAAUUAAUUUAAUUCUUUAAAAAUUAUAAAAAAUUUAAACUAUUAAAAUGAUAAAAUUUCAUUUUUACUAUCGUAAAAAAUAUAAUUUAAUUUCGACUCUCUAAAAAUUUUUUUUUAGCUUCACCCCUGCUAUUUACUACCAUGUCUUAUGUUACAUGCAAGAGGUAAUACUGACAUUUGAACUCAACAAAGAUUCAUUUCGUCAACAACCAAAAUAUCACCAACAUUUGAACUCAACAAAAGUUCAUUUCGUCUACAACCAAAAUAUCAUUGCCACAAUACAUCUCAUAUAUAUUAUGUGAACUAAAAUAUUGGUACCAAGGAUAUAAAUACACAUACCAACUUAGACACGUAGUCAGCUCCCCGAUUUCACCCAGAUUUCUUGAUGAUUAGCCGUCCCGAUCCUUCAACCUCAGCAUGGACCUAACCUAUUCGUUCCCUUGAUUAUUUGUAUAUAUAACUACU